CAUAUUGUAUUUUUUACUUAAGAAGUAAAAAUGACAUAGUCGGAUAUAUUUCAUCUAGAAAGGGUAUAAGUGCAGUGGCACGUGCCAACAGCGAAGAGAAAGCAAAAGAAAUUAAGUAAAGUGAUUGCAAAAGAAGCAUCGAUUUGAAUUGUGCGCAUCAGCUUACCAACAACGUGUCUUAAAGUUAAAAUUAUAAACCCAGUAUGUCUCAGCCAGAAUCGAAAGUGUGUCGAGUCCAGUUUGAUUUGGAAGAAACCCCAUCGGCCUCUAUUCAACUGAACGGCAAAUGGCAGAGUUAAAAGGAAUGUUUUAUAACCCUACACUGAAAAUAGUAAUCGCCCUGAUUUUUAGAAAUUGGUCGUCAAUGGCGAUUUAUUUUAUAAAUUUAAAGGACGAUAAAUACGAAUACUACUUAAUAUUAAUACUGUUACUUACACUAAAAAUAGUAUUCGGCCGUUUUGCUUGAAAAUGUAUCGUACUCUAAAUUUAUAAAAUAAAUCGCCAUUGACGACAAAUUUCUGAAAAUCAGGGCGAUUACUAUUUUUAGUCUAUUUGAUGUUUUAUUUAUUGUUUGUAAUAUAUACAAAUUAAAAUUUCAGAGUAGGUUCGCCAAACCCGCAGGGAGAUCUUUGUAAUAUCGCAGAAGCUCGACAUUUUGGCGGACAAAGUGGCGGAAGUCACCGCGCUUUGGAAGGUAUCGUUCGCUCCAGACAAGGAGAUUAGGGGGCGCGGUACCGUUUCCGUUAAAAAACGGAAGAGGACCUAGAUGCGUUCGAAAAUUCCUUGACCCCGGAGCUCAUCGGUUUUUACACAAAGAAAAUAUCCAAAAUAUUUGGUAGCGAACCGCUGUCAAAGAGGUUCAAGCUGGUCAUAGCCGAAGAAAUGAUUAAUACCUACAAUUUGGAAGGGUCCAACGGGAAAAAGUCCCUCCGAUCCCAUAUAGGGUUUUACGGAGUUCUUAAAGGAGCGUUGGCCAAGGACUCCGAGGACCCGGACAAAUGUUUGCUAUGACAAAUGUAAAAAAUAAUCUCACCAAACAAAAAAACCGAAA